rnacentral:ncRNA from 1 species
AAUAAAUUUUUUAUGGUUUAAAAAUUUUAUUUUAAGUUUAUUUUACAUGUAAAUUUUAGUGUUAUAUAUUAAUUAUUUAAAUAAUAUUUAAUUUUAUUGCAGUAAUUAGUUUUAAAAAUUUAAGAAAUUAAGAUUUAGUAAUAUUUAAAUUAAUAACUAAUUUUGUGCCAGCAGUUGCGGUUAUACAAAAAUUAAUUUAAAAUUUUUUAGUAAUUAAUAAUUAAUUAAAUUAAUAAUUUAAAUAGGUAAUUAUUAGGUAAAAUUUUAAUUAAAAAAAAAUUAUUUUAUAGUUAUGAUUUAAUAAAUUUUAAAAAAAACUAGGAUUAGAUACCCUAUUAUUAAAAAAUAAAUUUAAAAUACUAAAAUAGUAGAUAAUUUAUUGAAACUUAAAUAAUUUGGCGGUAUUUUAGUUUAUUUAGAGGAAUCUGUUUAAUAAUUGAUAAUCCACGAAUAAAUUUACUUAAUUUAAAAUUUUGUAUAUCGUUGUUAAAAAAAUAUUUUUUAAUAAUAAUAAUAUUUAAAAAUUUAAAUGUAAAAUUAAAUCAGAUCAAGAUGCAGAUUAUAAUUAAGAAUAUAAUGGAUUACAAUAAAUUUAUUUAAAUUGGAUUUUAAUAUGAAAAGAUUAAAUGAAAUUGGAUUUAAAUGUAAUUUUAUAAAAUUUUAAAAAAUGAUUAAUAAUUAAAAUAUGUACAUAUUGCCCGUCGCUUUCAUUUAUAAAUUGAAAUAAGUCGUAACAAAGUAGAGGUACUGGAAAGUGUUUCUAGAAAGAU